AAUAUAUCAAAGGUUGGAUCGCUUUGUGGAUCGUAUCGCUUUCCUUCGGGACUGUCAAACGUCUACAGAUUUUUGUGUUUGUUUGGUGUGUAACAUAACCCUACUUUUUUAUUUACUAUUCUUUACUUUUUUGAUAAAAGAACAGAGGAAAAACCUUUUUGAUUAGAAUUUAUCAACAUUAUUGCUAUGGACAUGGACAAUCACAAUCAAGUAUUUGUUGAAUUGCAAGAAUUCAUACUAAUUGAUGAAGAUAACAAAGAAUGCUUGGAACAAAGACAGCCUUUAAGUUCAAUACAAUCAUCAGACCCUAGGGUAGAACCUCAACCUCAUACAUCUGGUGUUAAACUUGCCAGUAAGAACUCCAUGCCGGCACCAGAUAAAUAUAAGAACAAAAUUUGGACCUUUGAGAUAAAAAACCAAAAAAUGCUAUGGGAGAAAAUUGCAUUGAAACUACAAAAAUUAGGGAUACAGGUUACACCUAAUAAUUGCUUGAAUCGCUG